UGCAGUCGACGGUGAAGCGGAGCUUGCUCUGCUGGAUCAGUGGCGAACGGGUGAGUAACACGUGAGCAAUCUGCCCUUGACUCUGGGAUAAGCGCUGGAAACGGCGUCUAAUACCGGAUACGAGCUGCGAAGGCAUCUUCAGCAGCUGGAAAGAACUUCGGUCAAGGAUGAGCUCGCGGCCUAUCAGCUUGUUGGUGAGGUAACGGCUCACCAAGGCGUCGACGGGUAGCCGGCCUGAGAGGGUGACCGGCCACACUGGGACUGAGACACGGCCCAGACUCCUACGGGAGGCAGCAGUGGGGAAUAUUGCACAAUGGGCGCAAGCCUGAUGCAGCAACGCCGCGUGAGGGACGACGGCCUUCGGGUUGUAAACCUCUUUUAGCAGGGAAGAAGCGAAAGUGACGGUACCUGCAGAAAAAGCACCGGCUAACUACGUGCCAGCAGCCGCGGUAAUACGUAGGGUGCAAGCGUUAUCCGGAAUUAUUGGGCGUAAAGAGCUCGUAGGCGGUUUGUCGCGUCUGCUGUGAAAACUGGAGGCUCAACCUCCAGCCUGCAGUGGGUACGGGCAGACUAGAGUGCGGUAGGGGAGAUUGGAAUUCCUGGUGUAGCGGUGGAAUGCGCAGAUAUCAGGAGGAACACCGAUGGCGAAGGCAGAUCUCUGGGCCGUAACUGACGCUGAGGAGCGA
rnacentral:rRNA from 1 species